UCCUACGGGGGGCAGCAGUGAGGAAUAUUGGUCAAUGGGCUUACGCCUGAACCAGCCAAGUCGCGUGAGGGAUGACGGCCCUACGGGUUGUAAACCUCUUUUGUCGGGGAGCAAGACCCGCCACGAGUGGCGGAGCGAGAGUACCCGAAGAAAAAGCAUCGGCUAACUCCGUGCCAGCAGCCGCGGUAAUACGGAGGAUGCGAGCGUUAUCCGGAUUUAUUGGGUUUAAAGGGUGCGCAGGCGGGAGAUCAAGUGAGAGGGAAAAUGUAGGGGCUUA
rnacentral:rRNA from 1 species